rnacentral:rRNA from 1 species
GACGAACGCUGGCGGCGUGCCUAAUACAUGCAAGUUGAGCGAUGAAGAUUGGUGCUUGCACCAAUUUGAAGAGCAGCGAACGGGUGAGUAACGCGUGGGGAAUCUGCCUUUGAGCGGGGGACAACAUUUGGAAACGAAUGCUAAUACCGCAUAACAACUUUAAACAUAAGUUUUAAGUUUGAAAGAUGCAAUUGCAUCACUCAAAGAUGAUCCCGCGUUGUAUUAGCUAGUUGGUGAGGUAAAGGCUCACCAAGGCGAUGAUACAUAGCCGACCUGAGAGGGUGAUCGGCCACAAUGGGACUGAGACAAGGCCCAAACUCCUACGGGAGGGAGCAGUAGGGAAUCUUCGGAAAUGGACGAAAGUCUGAACGAGCAACGCCGCGUGAGUGAAGAAGGUUUUCGGAUCGUAAAACUCUGUUGGUAGAGAAGAAAGUUGGUGAGAGUGGAAAGCUCAUCAAGUGACGGUAACUACACAGAAAGGGACGGCUAACUACGUG